UUGAUCAAGCUACAAAGAGCGCAUCAUGGAUGCCUUGGUGCCAAUAGGCGAUGAAGGACGUGGUAAGCUGCGAUAAGCUACGGACAGCGGCAAACACGCUUUGACCCGUAGAUUUCCGAAUGGGGUAACCUGA
rnacentral:rRNA from 1 species